GGGUUGUGAGGUUAAGCGACUAAGCGUACACGGUGGAUGCCCUGGCAGUCAGAGGCGAUGAAGGGCGUGCUAAUCUGCGAUAAGCGCCGGUAAGGUGAUAUGAACCGUUAUAACCGGCGAUACCCGAAUGGGGAAACCCAGUGUGACUCGUCACACUAUCAUUAACUGAAUCCAUAGGUUAAUGAGGCGAACCGGGGGAACUGAAACAUCUAAGUACCCCGAGGAAAAGAAAUCAACCGAGAUUCCCCCAGUAGCGGCGAGCGAACGGGGAGGAGCCCAGAGCCUGAAUCAGCAUGUGUGUUAGUGGAAGCGUCUGGAAAGGCGCGCGAUACAGGGUGACAGCCCCGUACACAAAAGCGCAUGUGCUGUGAGCUCGAUGAGUAGGGCGGGACACGUGGUAUCCUGUCUGAAUAUGGGGGGACCAUCCUCCAAGGCUAAAUACUCCUGACUGACCGAUAGUGAACCAGUACCGUGAGGGAAAGGCGAAAAGAACCCCGGCGAGGGGAGUGAAAAAGAACCUGAAACCGUGUACGUACAAGCAGUGGGAGCACAGGUUUACCUGUGUGACUGCGUACCUUUUGUAUAAUGGGUCAGCGACUUAUAUUCUGUAGCAAGGUUAACCGUAUAGGGGAGCCGGAGGGAAACCGAGUCUUAACCGGGCGUUAAGUUGCAGGGUAUAGACCCGAAACCCGGUGAUCUAGCCAUGGGCAGGUUGAAGGUUGGGUAACACUAACUGGAGGACCGAACCGACUAAUGUUGAAAAAUUAGCGGAUGACCUGUGGCUGGGGGUGAAAGGCCAAUCAAACCGGGAGAUAGCUGGUUCUCCCCGAAAGCUAUUUAGGUAGCGCCUCGUGAAUUCAUCUCCGGGGGUAGAGCACUGUUUCGGCUAGGGGGCCAUCCCGGCUUACCAACCCGAUGCAAACUGCGAAUACCGGAGAAUGUUAUCACGGGAGACACACGGCGGGUGCUAACGUCCGUCGUGAAGAGGGAAACAACCCAGACCGCCAGCUAAGGUCCCAAAGUCAUGGUUAAGUGGGAAACGAUGUGGGAAGGCCCAGACAGCCAGGAUGUUGGCUUAGAAGCAGCCAUCAUUUAAAGAAAGCGUAAUAGCUCACUGGUCGAGUCGGCCUGCGCGGAAGAUGUAACGGGGCUAAACCAUGCACCGAAGCUGCGGCAGCGACGCUGAUGCGUUGUUGGGUAGGGGAGCGUUCUGUAAGCCUGUGAAGGUGGCCUGUGAGGGUUGCUGGAGGUAUCAGAAGUGCGAAUGCUGACAUAAGUAACGAUAAAGCGGGUGAAAAGCCCGCUCGCCGGAAGACCAAGGGUUCCUGUCCAACGUUAAUCGGGGCAGGGUGAGUCGACCCCUAAGGCGAGGCCGAAAGGCGUAGUCGAUGGGAAACGGGUUAAUAUUCCCGUACUUGGUGUUACUGCGAAGGGGGGACGGAGAAGGCUAUGUUGGCCGGGCGACGGUUGUCCCGGUUUAAGCGUGUAGGUGUGUGUUCCAGGUAAAUCCGGUUCACUUUAACACUGAGGCGUGAUGACGAGGCACUACGGUGCUGAAGCAACAAAUGCCCUGCUUCCAGGAAAAGCCUCUAAGCAUCAGGUAACAUCAAAUCGUACCCCAAACCGACACAGGUGGUCAGGUAGAGAAUACCAAGGCGCUUGAGAGAACUCGGGUGAAGGAACUAGGCAAAAUGGUGCCGUAACUUCGGGAGAAGGCACGCUGACACGUAGGUGAAGUGAUUUACUCACGGAGCUGAAGUCAGUCGAAGAUACCAGCUGGCUGCAACUGUUUAUUAAAAACACAGCACUGUGCAAACACGAAAGUGGACGUAUACGGUGUGACGCCUGCCCGGUGCCGGAAGGUUAAUUGAUGGGGUCAGCGCAAGCGAAGCUCCUGAUCGAAGCCCCGGUAAACGGCGGCCGUAACUAUAACGGUCCUAAGGUAGCGAAAUUCCUUGUCGGGUAAGUUCCGACCUGCACGAAUGGCGUAAUGAUGGCCAGGCUGUCUCCACCCGAGACUCAGUGAAAUUGAACUCGCUGUGAAGAUGCAGUGUACCCGCGGCAAGACGGAAAGACCCCGUGAACCUUUACUAUAGCUUGACACUGAACAUUGAGCCUUGAUGUGUAGGAUAGGUGGGAGGCUUUGAAGUGUGGACGCCAGUCUGCAUGGAGCCGACCUUGAAAUACCACCCUUUAAUGUUUGAUGUUCUAACGUGGACCCGUUACCCGGGUUGCGGACAGUGUCUGGUGGGUAGUUUGACUGGGGCGGUCUCCUCCUAAAGAGUAACGGAGGAGCACGAAGGUUGGCUAAUCCUGGUCGGACAUCAGGAGGUUAGUGCAAUGGCAUAAGCCAGCUUGACUGCGAGCGUGACGGCGCGAGCAGGUGCGAAAGCAGGUCAUAGUGAUCCGGUGGUUCUGAAUGGAAGGGCCAUCGCUCAACGGAUAAAAGGUACUCCGGGGAUAACAGGCUGAUACCGCCCAAGAGUUCAUAUCGACGGCGGUGUUUGGCACCUCGAUGUCGGCUCAUCACAUCCUGGGGCUGAAGUAGGUCCCAAGGGUAUGGCUGUUCGCCAUUUAAAGUGGUACGCGAGCUGGGUUUAGAACGUCGUGAGACAGUUCGGUCCCUAUCUGCCGUGGGCGCUGGAGAACUGAGGGGGGCUGCUCCUAGUACGAGAGGACCGGAGUGGACGCAUCACUGGUGUUCGGGUUGUCAUGCCAAUGGCACUGCCCGGUAGCUAAAUGCGGAAGAGAUAAGUGCUGAAAGCAUCUAAGCACGAAACUUGCCCCGAGAUGAGUUCUCCCUGAGACUUAGAGUCUCCUGAAGGAACGUUGAAGACGACGACGUUGAUAGGCCGGGUGUGUAAGCGCAGCGAUGCGUUGAGCUAACCGGUACUAAUGAACCGUGAGGCUUAACCUUACAACGCCGAAG
rnacentral:rRNA from 1 species